rnacentral:rRNA from 1 species
AAAGAUUAAGCCAUGCAUGUCUAAGUACAAACAGGGUCUCACGACCUCUGUGAUACCGCGGACGGCUCAUUAAAUCAGUCGUGGUCCAAAGGGGCCAGUACACUAGCACAAUGGUUAUACUUGGAUAACUGUGGUAAUUCCAGAGCUAAUACAUGCAAUCACAUGCCCCGAAAGCGAGUUUACUCUUGCCGGACGGGUGCUUUUAUUAGACCAAACUGCCGGGAGCGGCGGGUGAGUCGAGGUGCAGCGRUGCGCUUCGCGCGUGYCACUCGCUCUCUCUCGCCCGCGUUCGCUCUUCUCGCUGUGUGGUGACUCUGGAUAACUACAAGGGACUUAGUCCCUGAUGACGAGCGCACGUACCCAUCUCUUUGAGCGGGACGGCGCUGCCACUUUCGAGUGUCUGCCUUAUCAGCUGUCAAUCGUUCGUUAUGUGCGACCGAUGGCAUUGACGGGUAACGGGGAAUCAGGGUUCGAUUCCGGAGAGGCAGCCUGAGAAACGGCUACCACGUCCAAGGACGGCAGCAGGCACGCAAAUUACCCAAUCCCAGCACCUGGGGGAGGUAGUGACGAAACAUAACGAUGCGGGCGCCCUUUCUGG